UACGAAGGGGACUAGCGUUGUUCGGAAUCACUGGGCGUAAAGCGCACGUAGGCGGAUAUGUCAGGUCAGGGGUGAAAUCCCGGGGCUCAACCUCGGAACUGCCUUUGAUACAGCAUAUCUUGAGUCCGAUAGAGGUGGGUGGAAUUCCUAGUGUAGAGGUGAAAUUCGUAGAUAUUAGGAAGAACACCGGUGGCGAAGGCGGCCCACUGGAUCGGUACUGACGCUGAGGCACGAAAGCGUGGGGAGCAAACAGGA
rnacentral:rRNA from 1 species